UGAUGUUUUAGUCACUUCUGA
rnacentral:piRNA from 1 species